rnacentral:rRNA from 1 species
GACGAACGCUGGCGGCGUGCCUAAUACAUGCAAGUCGAACGCAGUGGGGACGGGUGAGUAACACGUGGGUAACCUCCCAUCAGAGGGGAUAACACUUGGAAACAGGUGCUAAAACGAUACUGAUGGAUGGACCCGCGGUGCAUUAGCUAGUUGGUGAGGUAACGGCUAACCAAGGCCACGAUGCAUAGCCGACCUGGGAGAUGGAUCGGCCAAACUGGGACUGAGACACGGCCCAGACUCCUACGCGAGGCAGCAGUAGGGAAUCUUCGGCAAUGGACGAAAGUCUGACCGAGAAACGCCGCGUGAGUUAAGAAGGUUUUCGGAUCGUAAAACUCUGUUGUUAGAGAAGCGGUAUCUAACCAGAAAGCCACGGCUAACUACGUGCCAGCAUCCGCGGUAAUAC